ACAGGUGGUCUAGAGGUUAGAGUGGUGGUAGACAGGUGGUCUAGAGGUUAGAGUGGUGGUAGACAGGUGGUCUAGAGGUUAGAGAGGUGGUAGACAGGUGGUCUAGAGGUUAGAGUGGUGGUAGACAGGUGGUCUAGAGGUUAGAGUGGUGGUAGACAGGUGGUCUAGAGGUUAGAGAGGUGGUAGACAGGUGGUCUAGAGGUUAGAGAGGUGGUAGACAGGUGGUCUAGAGGUUAGAGUGGUGGUAGACAGGUGGUCUAGAGGUUAGAGAGGUGGUCUAGAGGUUAGAGUGGUGGUAGACAGGUGGUCUAGAGGUUAGAGAGGUGGUAGACAGGUGGUCUAGAGGUUAGAGUGGUGGUAGACAGGUGGUCUAGAGGUUAGAGUGGUGGUAGACAGGUGGUCUAGAGGUUAGAGAGGUGGUAGACAGGUGGUCUAGAGGUUAGAGAGGUGGUAGACAGGUGGUCUAGAGGUUAGAGUGGUGGUAGACAGGUGGUCUAGAGGUUAGAGAGGUGGUCUAGAGGUUAGAGUGGUGGUAGACAGGUGGUCUAGAGGUUAGAGAGGUGGUAGACAGGUGGUCUAGAGGUUAGAGAGGUGGUAGACAGGUGGUCUAGAGGUUAGAGAGGUGGUAGACAGGUGGUCUAGAGGUUAGAGAGGUGGUAGACAGGUGGUCUAGAGGUUAGAGUGGUGGUAGACAGGUGGUCUAGAGGUUAGAGUGGUGGUAGACAGGUGGUCUAGAGGUUAGAGUGGUGGUAGACAGGUGGUCUAGAGGUUAGAGUGGUGGUAGACAGGUGGUCUAGAGGUUAGAGAGGUGGUAGACAGGUGGUCUAGAGGUUAGAGUGGUGGUAGACAGGUGGUCUAGAGGUUAGAGUGGUGGUAGACAGGUGGUCUAGAGGUUAGAGAGGUGGUAGACAGGUGGUCUAGAGGUUAGAGAGGUGGUAGACAGGUGGU